UACAGAGGUCUCAAGCGUUGUUCGGAUUCAUUGGGCGUAAAGGGUGUGUAGGUGGCGCGCUAAGUCGGGUGUGAAAUUCGGAGCUUAACUCCGAAACUGCAUUCGAUACUGGCGUGCUUGAGGACUGGAGAGGAGACUGGAAUUCAUGGUGAGCAGUGAAAUGCGUAGAGAUCAUGAGGAAGACCAGUGGCGAAGGCGGGUCUCUAGUACGGUACUGACGCUGAGACGCGAAAGCCGUGGGGAGCGAACAGG
rnacentral:rRNA from 1 species